rnacentral:rRNA from 1 species
UUUAUUAAAGAAGAAAAAGAAGAAAACAGGGGUUCUGUUGAAUUUCAAGUAUUCAGUUUCACCAAUAAGCUACGGGACUUGCUUCACAUUUGGAAUUACACAAAAAAAAAUUCAUUGGAAAGAGGUCUACGAAGACUUUUGGGAGAUCGACGCGGAAAGUUCCGAUUGAAAUAG